UACGUGAGGGCGCAAGCGUUGUCCGGAAUUUAUUGGGCGUAAAGAGCUCGUAGGCGGUUCUGUCGCGUCCGUUGUGAAAACUCGAGGCUCAACCUCGGGCUUGCAGUGGAUACGGGGCAGACUAGAUGUGCGGUAGGGGAGGAACUGGAAUUCCUGGGUGUAGUCGGGUGAAAUGCGCAGAUAUCAGGAGGAACACCGAUGGCGAAGGCAGGUCUCUGGGCCGCAACUGACGCUGAGGAGCGAAAGCAUGGGGAGCGAACAGG
rnacentral:rRNA from 1 species